rnacentral:rRNA from 1 species
UACGAAGGGGGCUAGCGUUGCUCGGAAUUACUGGGCGUAAAGGGCGCGUAGGCGGCUCUGUUAGUCAGGCGUGAAAGUCCUGGGCUCAACCUGGGAACUGCGCUUGAUACGGCGGGGCUAGAGGAUGGAAGAGGGUCGCGGAAUUCCCAGUGUAGAGGUGAAAUUCGUAGAUAUUGGGAAGAACACCGGUGGCGAAGGCGGCGACCUGGUCCAUUACUGACGCUGAGGCGCGACAGCGUGGGGAGCAAACAGG